rnacentral:rRNA from 1 species
UACGGGGGGAGCAAGCGUUGUUCGGGUUUACUGGGCGUAAAGGGCGCGUAGGCGGCGCAACAAGUCACUUGUGAAAUCUCCGGGCUUAACUCGGAACGGUCAAGUGAUACUGUUGUGCUAGAGUGCGGAAGGGGCAACUGGAAUUCUCGGUGUAGCGGUGAAAUGCGUAGAUAUCGAGAGGAACACCUGCGGCGAAGGCGGGUUGCUGGGCCGACACUGACGCUGAUGCGCGAAAGCCAGGGGAGCGAACGGG